rnacentral:rRNA from 1 species
AUUACGGGGCGCAGCAGGCGCGAAACCUCCGCAAUGUGAGAAAUCGCGACGGGGGGAUCCCAAGUGCCAUUCUUAACGGGAUGGCUUUUCUUUAGUGUAAAAAGCUUUUGGAAUAAGAGCUGGGCAAGACCGGUGCCAGCCGCCGCGGUAAUACAAU